UGAUAAGAUACACACCUGGUACCGGAGC
rnacentral:piRNA from 1 species